CCCCCCCCCUUAAUCCCCACUAUAUAAUACGUCUCUUUUAGGAAAAAUUCUCUUUGAAAAACGUUAAAUUAUCUGUCGCGACUGUUACAGUAAUCGUUCUGACAGACAGCCAAGGAUUUUACUUGUCAAGGCGACGGAUUUAUUUGUCGUUGUUUUUUCCUCAUUAACAAUGUACAUUUUCCUACAAUGAGAGGAAAUAUCCAAAAGGACAUAAGCGAAUAAUUUUGAAACUUUUAAACCAAGAUGAUUGGAUAAAUGUUUCUUUCGAUACUAAAAAAUUUUAAAGAACCUUCGAUGACCAGAUUGGAACACGCACUGUCUCUUAAGUACAGUUUCGAUAUUCGUACUACCACGAGGGCGGCGUUUUGGAGUUGGCGCACAAAAUUAUAGUUGGACCUCUUUGAAUAUCCAUUUAACUAAAGGAGCCUAACCUAGUGGGUAGAAACAUAUGUUUGACGCAUGGGAUUGUCUAAAGUUUGAUCCUUAAGGUGUUAAUGAGAUUUUUCUUGUGAUUUUCUCAUUGGUGGUGUCUGGUCUCUAGUGCAAGCCGACCAUAAUAUCCAUCCCGUUCAUCACUGUCCUAGCCAAGAACCAUAAUUGACUUCCCACCACGUGGUAGAGAGCCACCACCCUCUGUAGCAUGUCAAGUUCAGGAAAUAGAAGGAUGUAAAACUGAUCACUAUUAUUAUGUUAUUUCAUCAACUCCAUAGUUUAUAAGCUGAUUCUAUCGAAAAUAAAAGCGAUUAUAUGAAGUAUCACAAUUGCGCUUGUAAAUUAUUAAUAUUGUAUUAUUAAUA